rnacentral:lncRNA from 1 species
UCUAUAAGGGAAUGCUUAGAUAUGCUGCUCCUUGCUUCAUACAGUUAAUAUCAUCCGCAUGAAGCUGGGACCAAAACUCACACGUUUGCAACAUGAGUUGUGUAAAGAAGUUACUUUGCGGGAAAUUCAAGAUGCACUGUUCAACAUUGACAGUAACAAAAUUCAUGGUAUUGAUGGUUUUACGACUUGCUUUUCCAUGA